CCAGCACGCGCCGUGUGACCCUUUAUAGACUACUAUAAAGGGUCACACGGCGCGUGCUGGUC
ensembl:miRNA oni-mir-10629-2 oni-mir-10629-2